rnacentral:rRNA from 1 species
UUAAAUUGAAGAGUUUGAUCAUGGCUCAGAUUGAACGCUGGCGGCAGGCCUAACACAUGCAAGUCGAGCGGAAACGAGUUAUCU